UACGUAGGAGGCAAGCGUUGUCCGGAAUUACUGGGUGUAAAGCGCGUGUAGGCGGCAGGCCAAGUCUGUGGUGAAAUCGCUCGGCUCAACUGGGCGGGGUCCAUGGAAACUGGUCAGCUGGAGGACGGUAGAGGUGAGUGGAAUUCCCGGUGUAGUGGUGAAAUGCGUAGAGAUCGGGAGGAACACCAGUGGCGAAGGCGGCGACCUGGGCCAAUAUUGACGCUGAGGUGCGAAAGCGUGGGGAGCAAACAGG
rnacentral:rRNA from 1 species